rnacentral:rRNA from 1 species
AUGGACGCGACGAUCGGCGACCCGUUGUUGGCGGCGUCUGUGGAGAGGGCGUUCGAGAAGCAGCCAUUGCCCGGGUUAUGGGAGCAGGUGACACCGCGGGCAGUGAUCGUCUCGGUGGUGCUCUCAAUCGUCUUCUCCUUUGUGAUCCUGAAGAUCCACAUGUCGACCGGCGUGGUACCUGGUAUGAACAUGGCAGUCAGCGUCCUCAGCUUCGCCUUACUCAAGUGGUUCAUCAGCCUGGUUCGGACGUGCGGCCUCCCGACAUCGCCGUUCACGCGCCAGGAGAACUUGUUGGUGCUGACCACCGUCGUUACAGUCAUCAACUUGGCCAUCACUGGUGGAUGUGCCUUGUACAUCGUAUCAAUGACCUCUGUUGUGGCAAAGUCACUUGGUGAAGAGUCAGAUCCGAGAGACAUUGUUGAUAACUUUCCAACAGGGCGAUGGAUGUUAUUCCUACUCUUGAUUGGUCUAAUGUCUAUCUUCAUUAGUGUCCCCUUUAACCAGGUGAUGAUUCUUGACUACAGAUUACUAUUCCCGACAGGAACAGCUCAAGCUCACCUUAUUAACAGUUUUCACACCCCUCAGGGAGCUAUUGUAGCAAAGAUGCAAGUUGCGACCAUAUUUAAACUUUUCAUCGGUAGCUUUUCUUGGACUUCGUUCGCAUGGUUAUACGCUUCAGGAAAAGGUUGUGGAUUUUCAAGCUUUCCCUUGUUUGGACUAGAAAUGUAUAAGAAGAGGUUCUUCUUUGACUUUUCUACAACAUUUAUUGGUGUGGGAAUGAUUUGCCCACCUAUGGUAAAUAUUACAUUGCUAGUCGGAGGCAUCACAUCAUGGGGUUUUUUGUUCCCUUUUCUCGAAACAAAAAGUGGGCAAUGGUAUCACACUAGUAAUCCAACAAGUUUAGUUGGAUCAAAUGGAUACAAGGUCUUUAUUACAGUUACACUUAUCGUUGUUGAUGGUAUUUAUAACUUCAUUAUACUACUUGUCACUGCCUUCAUUGACUUCAAACAAAAACAACAAGAAACAGAUUCAGUGGUGGGGAACUACUUGAGAAAACACCCGAGUCUUAAUUAUGAUGAUCGUAGAAGGAUUGAGGUAUUCCUUGAAAAUAGAAUACCUUUUUCCAUACCAGUGACUGCAUACGUGGUGUGUGCAAUAAUCUGUGGAAUUAUUAUCCCAAGGAUGUUCUACCAGAUAACUUUCUUUAAUGUCCUUACAAUUUACAUUAUUAUACCGAUACUUGCGCUCACCAAUACCUAUGCAACUGGGCUCACGGACUGGAAUGUUGCAUAUACUUACGCCAAGUUCACAAUCUUCAUCGUCUCAGCAUGGGUUGCCAAACCUGGUGCAAUUAUCGCUAGCCUUGUAGCAUGUGGGCUAGUGGUGUCAGCACUUCAUGUUUCCUCGCAAGCAACACAAGACGUGAAGACAGGUUACAUGACACUAACCUCACAACGAGCCCUGGUCAUCAUGCAAAUUUUGGGUAUAAUCACUGGUUCAAUUCUUACCCCAUGCAUCUUCCGUGCCUUCCAAAACACGGCCAAGGCACACAUUCCCAUUGGAGCACCAGACUCAGAAUACCCAUGUCCAUACGCUGGGGUUUAUCGUUCCAUCGCGGUGGUUGGCAUAGGAGGUGUCAAGGAGCUCCCUGACCAUUGUCUAAAGUUUUGCUUUGCUGCAGCUUGCUUUGCCAUUGCAGUCAACACACUCUCAAUUGUGUCUCAGAGGAAAGGCUGGAAAAUAAUGAACUACAUUCCCAAUGUCACCGUGUUUGCAUUGCCAUUCUUCAUUGGAUCAUCUGGCCCCAUUGAUAUGUGCAUAGGCACUAUAGUGAUGUUUGUAUGGACUAAAAUUAAUAGCCAAAGUGCCAUUUUACUAUCAUCAGCAGUUGCAGCAGGCUUGAUGUGUGGAGACGGGCUAUUUGCACUACCAUCAUCAAUGCUCACCCUUUUCAGUGUGGAGCCACCCAUGUGCAUGAAGUUCAUUCAGAGCGGAAAACAACUUGACUUGGCAGAUUCCUUCAUAAAAACUAUCUCCGCGCCUACAAAGCCAUGA